GACGAACGCUGGCGGCGUGCCUAACACAUGCAAGUCGAGCGAGUGAAUUUCCUUCGGGAUUGAAGCUAGCGGCGGACGGGUGAGUAACACGUGGGCAACCUGCCUCAUAGAGGGGAAUAGCCUUUCGAAAGGAAGAUUAAUACCGCAUAAGAUUGUAGCUUCGCAUGAAGUAGCAAUUGAAGGAGCAAUCCGCUAUGAGAUGGGCCCGCGGCGCAUUAGCUAGUUUGUGAGGUAACGGCUCACCAAGGCGACGAUGCGUAGCCGACCUGAGAGGGUGAUCGGCCACAUUGGGACUGAGACACGGCCCAGACUCCUACGGGAGGCAGCAGUGGGGAAUAUUGCACAAUGGGGGAAACCCUGAUGCAGCAACGCCGCGUGAGUGAUGACGGCCUUCGGGUUGUAAAGCUCUGUCUUCAGGGACGAUAAUGACGGUACCUGAGGAGGAAGCCACGGCUAACUACGUGCCAGCCGCCGCCGUAA
rnacentral:rRNA from 1 species